CUCUCUCCUUAUUCACUCUCUUUCCUUAUCCACUCCCACAGCCACACCACUUGUUUUACUCAGCUCGAGAGUGAGGAGGAGGACGAGCGCCGCGGUGCUCGUCGAUGUGAAGCUCUAGGACGGCGCACUCCGGGUCCCCGCCGACCGGCUCAAGCGGGGCGAGUGGCCGCAGCGGCCGUCGAGGCCGCCUCCGUCUGCGUGCACAUCGACUGCUCAACCUGGCGGCCAUCAUCGAGUUUGGCGCGCUCCGGGUCCGCGCCGACCGACUCAACGGGGCGACGUGGGCGGAGAGCGAGCGCCGCCUGCUUGCCCGCGCGGACGUCGAGGCCGCCUCCGUCUGCGCGCACCUAGCCGCCGUCCAUGACCACUGAUGUGGCUGCUCUAGUCGCUCGGUGCGACUAUCACCUCCGAUGCGGCUAUUACCUCCGAUGCGGCUGGGCGUCCUUGCCGUAGCCGCAGCCGGGGGGGGGGGGGGGGGGGGGGGGGAGGGCAGCGCACCCUAUGGCUUCAAGAUUGUGGAGGCGCACUACUCGAUGACGGGCGUGGCGGUCCUCCGCAUCAUGUUUUUGCUGCAAGGCUGCAGGGAGUCCAUGCUCGUCGUUGUUCGCCAGGUGACACCGCAGCCGCAGGUCGAGCUUGACCACCAUGGCGAACUACAAAAGGCAUUUGGAUCCUUCCACUGCAGUUAUUGGGUUCUUUGUACGCUUUGAAGAUGAUAGUGUCGAUUCAGCAAAAGUGGUCAAACAGUGGAAUGUCAAAAUCAUAUCUAUAAGCAAGAAUAAAAGGCAUCAAGACAGACCGGCUGCUCUGGAGGUGUGGGAUCGGCUGGAUGAAUUUGUGCGGGCUGUACGUGUCUCUCUGGCUUAAUGACGCGGUGCUGCUGCUGCUACAAGGCGCUACCAAAAUUUUAAAUUAAGAAUUUGUUGGUGGUGAUUCAUUUUAAUUUUAUUGGCACGUUGCAUCUUUCAACAAGCUAAUGUUUGGUAUGACAAAACUACAGGGAACGGCACAUCCUCAUAUUACAAAGAUAGAAUCUAUAAGGUUUUACUCUUUUGUCCAUUCUGAUUAUGUUUUCUUGAAGCAAGACUUAAUUACUCCAUGGUCCAUACAGUGAUAGUUCAUACACAGCCUAACAGUAUUUCCUUGACAUUUUGUUUUCUUUCAUUUUCAACUCCCAGUUGUUUAUACAGAAUUAUAGAUAUAAUAGUAGAAGUCGUCAGUGACAACUUCCUGUUGCACCUGCUUCUUACCACGGGCACAUGCAUGCAAAGGUUCUGUCAAAAGCCAUCUACGCAUGUGUUUUUCCACUCCAUAUCACCGAAAAGCAACGGUAUCUUUCUGGUGCCACCACCAACAGGUAUUGUUAGUUCUGUUGCCUCCAAUCUUAGUAGUAGUCGUCUCUCUGCAUCUCAGUCAAAUUGUACACUUUCAACUUUCUCAAGCAUUCGGCCAAAGUGGAGAUCAAUAUAUCAACUAGCAUAAUUGCUUGCUUUCAUACAGCAAGGUAUGAACAUAGCUAUGCAUUUUGCUGGUCUCCUUGGAAAUUUCUUAUUUAUCUUUCCUAAGGUGUUGAUUAGAUUUAUUUUUUUGUCUGAAAAAUCAUAAAGGAAAGAAACAAAUAAAUCUCUACAAGUUGUUGUCGCUCAUACUUGUGAACUAUUUUUAGCAGUAGUAUAAAAAUAUCAUUUGUUAUCACUAAUGGGAUAAGUAGAAUUUGGUUAUCUAAUAGGAGUUAUAUUUAUUUUUAUUUAUCUUUCCUAAGGUGUUGAUUUGAUUAAAAAUCUGAUUCAUCAUAAAGGAAAGACUCUGGGUUGUUAUCGCUCAUUUUGUGAACUAUUUUAGCGGUAGUCUAAAAAUACCAUCUGUGGUCACUAAUGAGAUCAAGGGAAUUUGGUUAUCUAAUAGUUGUAUUUAUUUUAUU